GACGAACGCUGGCGGCGUGCCUAAUACAUGCAAGUUGAGCGAUGAAGAUUGGUGCUUGCACCAAUUUGAAGAGCAGCGAACGGGUGAGUAACGCGUGGGGAAUCUGCCUUUGAGCGGGGGACAACAUUUGGAAACGAAUGCUAAUACCGCAUAACAACUUUAAACAUAAGUUUUAAGUUUGAAAGAUGCAAUUGCAUCACUCAAAGAUGAUCCCGCGUUGUAUUAGCUAGUUGGUGAGGUAAAGGCUCACCAAGGCGAUGAUACAUAGCCGACCUGAGAGGGUGAUCGGCCACAUUGAGACUGCGACACGGCCCAAACUCCUACGGGAGGCAGCAGUAGGGAAUCUUCGGCAAUGGACGAAAGUCUGACCGAGCAACGCCGCGUGAGUGAAGAAGGUUUUCGGAUCGUAAAACUCUGUUGGUAGAGAAGAACGUUGGUGAGAGUGGAAAGCUCAUCAAGUGACGGUAACUACCCAGAAAGGGACGGCUAACUACGUG
rnacentral:rRNA from 1 species